GGUAUUGGAUUGAUACAAUUGUAAUUCAAUCAAUAUUUUAAUUUAAAUAUCUCUCAUCUACGUUCAUUAUACUUUGCUCGUGUCUUCUACCUCUAAAAUCCUGAGCAAACGCUGCUUUCACAUCCUGGCCCACUUUGCUACUCCUCCCCCUCCUACUGCUCUGCUGUGAGUCGUUGUUGUGUCGUCACGUGACUCACUGACACAAUGCAGUGAGGAGCAGCGGACAGAGUGAGCGAAGCUGAUAGCACAUUGAAGUCCAGAAGGGGGGCUCAGGGAAUGUAUUUGCACAGCGCCCAGGGGUGCUUAAAAAAAGUUAUGAAACCCUGCUGCCCUGACUACUUCACCAGUUUUUGAAAAGUGCGUGUAAAAAAAGUGAGGAAACAAUAAGAGGAGUUUUAAGACCAGUUGGAUUGGGUGUAAAUGCAAAAGGCACGAGAGUCGACUGUUUCUGACAGUGCCGCGCAUCAGUAGCGUAAUGCUAACCCGUCCUGUGUGAAAGCACGAGUCCAUGCUGCUUCCAUGCUGCUUCAGCACCACAUACGUAACGCACACAGACUGCAUACGCACUGCAGACGGAUUAUAUGUGAAACCGGUACAGAUGAGACAUUAUGUGCUGUAGACGACGAAUCAAGUAAAAAAACUAAGGAUGAGGACAGUAGCUUUUCUGUACCAGCCGUGGUACAUACAGGAACAUCCUUCAUGAAGAUGUGUGAGAGAAGCUUGCAAGGCAAGAUAAUGU